rnacentral:rRNA from 1 species
CCUACGCGCGGCAGCAGUGAGGAAUAUUGGUCAAUGGCCGGGAGGCUGAACCAGCCAAGUCGCGUGAGGGAAGACGGCCCUACGGGUUGUAAACCUCUUUUGUCAGGGAGCAAGGUGCAGGUCGGGACCUGCUGUGAGAGUACCUGAAGAAAAAGCAUCGGCUAACUCCGUGCCAGCAGCCGCGGUAAUACGGAGGAUGCGAGCGUUAUCCGGAUUUAUUGGGUUUACAGGGUGCGCAGGCGGAGGCACAAGUCAGCGGUAAAAUCGCGGGGCUCAACCCCGGUCCGCCGUUGAAACUGUGGCCCUUGAGUGCGCGAAGGGUAGGCGGAAUGCGUGGUGUAGCGGUGAAAUGCAUAGAUAUCACGCAGAACUCCGAUCGCGAAGGCAGCCUACCGGCGCGCAACUGACGCUCAUGCACGAAAGCGUGGGUAUCGAACAGGAUUAGAUACCCCAGUAGUC